UUGAGUAGCUAGGAUUAUGAAUGGGCCCCCCAACACUUACCCUGGUGGAAACAUUUUGAUAGUAUUUUAGCCUGGUGUGGUGAUUCACACCUGUAAUCCUAGCACUUGGGACACAGGCAGGAGGAUAUACAGUUUGAAGUCAGCCUGGGCUUGUGAAAUUUUCU